ACAAAUGCGUUGAAGAGAAGAGUAAAUAAAUGAAAUCUUUCACAGAGAGCUCCGUCCGCUGAAAAGGAGUAAAGAGAACUUUAUUGAACAAAGCCUCAGAGCAGCACAUCGGAACCAAUUGAGGGGGAUGGUGUGACAGGAGCUCCUGUUAUAGAGCUAAAGUAUACGCAAGGCUUCGGCCUGUCGUACUUGAAGAGGCUGAUAUGGCGACAUAUUGGUGAAACUGGGUGGUACCACGAGGAUAUGAAUCUCGUCCCUAAG
rnacentral:ncRNA from 1 species